rnacentral:rRNA from 1 species
GAUGAACGCUGGCGGCGUGCCUAAUACAUGCAAGUCGAGCGAACAGACGCGGAGCUUGCUCCUCUGACGUUAGCGGCGGACGGGUGAGUAACACGUGGAUAACCUACCUAUAAGACUGGGAUAACUUCGGGAAACCGGAGCUAAUACCGGAUAAUAUAUUGAACCGCAUGGUUCAAUAGUGAAAGACGGUUUUGCUGUCACUUAUAGAUGGAUCCGCGCCGCAUUAGCUAGUUGGUAAGGUAACGGCUUACCAAGGCAACGAUGCGUAGCCGACCUGAGAGGGUGAUCGGCCACACUGGAACUGAGACACGGUCCAGACUCCUACGGGAGGCAGCAGUAGGGAAUCUGCCGCAAAGGGCGAAAGCCUGACGGAGCAACGCCGCGUGAGUGAUGAAGGUAUUCGGAUCGUAAAACUCUGUUAUUAGGGAAGAACAAAUGUGUAAGUAACUAUGCACGUCUUGACGGUACCUAAUCAGAAAGCCACGGCUAACUACGUG